GCGGCGGCCGCGGGGGCUCGGCGGGUCCGGCCGCCGCUCCAGCCCCGCCCGCGCCGCGCCCGCCGCCGCCAACAGCGGCCGGAGCCGCCGGGCCGGCCGUGCACCGCCGCCCAACUUUGGGGGACAGCGAGCCCAGCGCGGAGCCGAUAGCCGGGAGCGCCCCGCCAGGUGCAGGUUCUGGGCACAUCUUCAGUACCUCACAUGGAAAACUAAAGUGAUUGCAGUGAAACACAUCCAGGGGCGGGCGUCGUGCCACCCAAUGCACUGCCCACCAAGCCAAGGAGACCUCCACUCCAAACCCAGCAUUCUCUGACAUUGUCCAGCUACAUUAUCCACCCAGAAACAAUGACAAGGGAACCUCAGCUGGACUCGUGGGACCAGCAGGAGAACCAGUGGUGCUUCCUGCCCUCCCUGCCCUGGCAAAGACCGCUCCUACUCCAAGUGAUGGCAAGAAAAAGCUCACAGGAUUAUCCUGAAGGAGCCAGUUCAGACAUGCUGUGCUGCUGUCCCACAGGAACCGUGUCCCUCUGUACGGCUCAAGUCAGAACGACUCACCAAGGACUUCCAAACUCCAGUUUGGUGAAUAUUCAAAAUAUAUCUGCUUGCUCUGUUCAAAGACUUAAACUCGUUCAAUUUUACACAGGGACAGCUCCACCAAGUUCAACAGCUACACACUACACAGACUGAACUUUGCAAAAGUGGAAUUUUAGGAAAAAAUCUGCCCUCUCCCUGGGUGUGACAGCACAGACCCCUGUUCAGUCACCCACGGCCAGCGCUUCCACCGACAGCCCGGUAAGUGUGGUACAGGGAAUUUACCACAGCAGUGUAACAGCGAGCAGCCCAAGAGCAUGCCUGCCAAAUUGUUUUAACAUUAUGAAAACAAGACAAAUGACUCAUUUUUGAUGCAGUUUGACAUUCUGCCUUUGAAAUCUCAAAAUUUUCAGCACGCUUGGCAGACUCAUUCGGAAGUGAGAGUGCACAAUUUGGAUUUUUUCCAGAGACAUCUUACAUGAUAUACAAGAAAGCACUUUCUUGUUAUUUUAAACAGACAUUUCAGCCAACUGUUUUUCCUCAUGUAUACCUGCAUGAAAGCAGAAAAUACAGAAGUCCUGACAGAGGCGUUCAUCUUUACUGCGAGGACAUGUGAAAAUAAUUCACUGCAAUUACUCUGAGUAAGACAUCUCAGACAAACAGGGAAAAUUACAGUAAAGGGGCCAUUACCCCAGUUUUCCAAUGCACGACAAGCCAAAGGCUUGAGCACACGUUCCACACCUCUCAAAUGCUCUGCAUGUACAAAUAGGAUUAAAAUCUGGGUUCCUACUUGGCUGCAAAAAAUCCUCUAGAUUUUUUUUUUCUUUAAUUUUUGGUAAGGAGACAGCGAGGGAAAAAAAACAAAGGAAAGACAGGCAUGUUCAGAAUGUUUUUAAAUCCAUGCUUGGGAAGCUUCAGAUGUUUGUGUCAGCAACUGUUUGCUGCCUACCAGAGGCACCACCCCGCAGAUCCGCCUGCCCCGGGGCACAGCAGGGUGACCCUGAGCACCAGCACACCCAGUGCUGCCACCACAGCCAUGGGACAGCUGGGGACAGUCCAGCAGGAGCUCCAGGGCUCAUCCAUCCACUGCAGGGGCCACCAGGGCUGGCUGAUGGUGGUGACUGAGCAGUGGCCACCAGCGCUGGCCAGGUGAUCGACAGACAGGAAGACAUCAAAAGAACUCGAGGAGCUCGGUUUAUUUAGUUUAUCAAAAGUUUAUAUAAAUAUCUUCAUAGGGAACAGACAAGCAUUUUUCAGUUUAGCAAAAGAUAACAGACAUGAAAGCUGGGGCUGGACAAAUGCUCCCUGGCAGUAACAUCCAGUUAUUUAAGGGGGAAGGAGGGUCAGUGUUGGACAGCCCUGCCCUUUUUCUGCAGAUUUGUUCUGCUGGGAGGAUACCAUGGGAAAUUUAGUUAUGUUUUAAUACCUGUCAAUGCACAAGAGUAAAUAUGAGCUAAAUCAGGCCACAAAGGUUCAGCAGAGUUAUCAUGAACUAUACAUGUCUCUAGAUGACAAAUUAUUCUACAUAUGCAUGUGAAAUUACCUGUUUCCAUAUAGAAGUGAUAAACUGCAUGAAAACCUAGCUAGAUACCAACAAAGAUGUCUUUAUUAAUCACCAGGCAAGUAAGUGCACACAUGCUCACAGCUCAGAGCCUCCCAUGCAUGCACUCCACAGGGCUGCUCUCACUGUAAAGGAAGGAGCCAGAUUAUCAUUCCCAUCAUGCAGGAACCACAGUUCUCCAAUAAAAGUAAGAGCAAGUCCACCAGCACAAAGGCACGUGGAAGGGACCAUGUCCUGGCUCUGGGAGGCUUUUAGCAGUUGUGAACAUCUGAGCAUUACUUUGACAUGAGCUGCCAGUUAGAAGUCUGCCACAUUUGAAAAAUCCACAGAGUUCCCAAACAAUGAGAUGAAAAGUUGCUCUCAACGAGGGGUUCUCAGCCCUGGUAAGGACAGGAUUUCCCAGUCCCACCCGUCUGACAAGGGCCUGUUGCCAUCUAGUGGAUUCCCAUCGACCGGUCCCUCCGCACAGCAAAUGCCACUAGAUGGAGUGUUGAGAAGGAAUUCUGAAUUCCUACUUCUUUAUGUGUCCAGCAGCUCAGGUUUUCAAAGUCUCAAAAAGUUACAGGCCCAGAAUUACCCUGAAAUUGAGGAGGAUUUCACCAACUGCCCUCAGUUUCAUGAGAAAUUUCAGGCUGUAGUUUUUCAAGUGUUAUAACGAAACACUACAGAAAAAGACUCCGAUGUCAACAUAAUUUACAUCACCUCAGGGGUUUCUAUCACAGGUAUCUCCUUCACUGAUAUAUCUCUGGUGGCAACAGAUCUUACUGAGCCUGGAUUCUGCUGGUGUAAAUAGUGAUGUACAGAGCUGGUCUGUGCUGUUUUAGUGAGAAACACCUCAUCAGCUCUCAGCUAUGGGAAUCCCCACUUCCAUGAACAAGCAUCAGCUGUACAACUUCUCCACGUCUCUACCAUGGAGUAUCAGUUCACAUCUCUGGAUUAUCUCAGAAUGAGAAAUUCUACCUCGUCACACAUGGCAAGAAAAGGGGUACUUACUGCCCACGGAGUUCACAGGGAGGACAGGAGAGGAGGAACUCAUCUGCUCCACAUCUGCAGCUAAUGGGAAAGUGAAAAUGAGAAAGAUGUGAUGUGCAUGUUACUGAGAAGGUUUUACUUUGAAAACUUUCAUUUACACUGAAAUUGAAUACGCAUGUCUCAGUCACCCGAGGAGCUGCUUUGAGGAGCAGGUAAAAUUAACAGCAUCAGCUUCCCCCUUCCAAAGUAUUCCUGUCAUACACAUUAUCUGCAGGUCUACUCUCCUCAGCAGUCAUAUUAGUAAUCUGUAACUUGUGAUGGUUUGAGAAUAUCAAUUCAGAGCAACUUCCAGCACAAAGAAAGUCUAAGUUACAUCAGGUUUAAACUGUAUGCAGAGCAUUUCUGUGGAAUGAAAGGAUAUGAUGAUCUCCCAUCUGUGGCCAGUGAACCUUCAAAAGAUUCCUGAUCAGAAGAGAGAUCCUCUUCCAAAGGCUGGCAAGCUGCUGGAAUUUGAUCUGGAGCAGCAUCAGAAACAAGUGUCUUUAAGCACAAGACACUCCAAAGCUUUAUUUUCUAGCAGCUGAAAGAAGAAGCAGAACUUCCUGCCUGUGUCUGCCAGUGAAAACCCUCAAAGUCAGAACGUGAUCAAAAACAAAUGCCAGAUUGCCCUGUGUGUUUUGGAAAGGAUCCACCUUUCCCGGACUCAAACCAGGAGAAAACCAUCUUGCACUAACAGGGUCAGUUUUAACCCAAGAUUAGGUAAAGCCAAGAUGCAGUCUUUGGGCAGCCCCUCUCAGCACAUCACCCCCAACACCCAAGCCCAGCAGCUCAGUCUCCAGCUCUGUGAUUUUGAUGCUGGUAGGUCCCCCCAUAAUUAUAUAUUCUGUAACUCUUGUUUAGCUCUCAGUCCCAAUAAAUGCACACUACAAGUUUGCAUUCCUAACCACAGAACACAGCCCCAGAAGCACAACUCCGGCCCACGCCAGGCUUUGCUGCCAGCCCAAAUCCUGCCUUGCACAUUCUUGCAAUUCCCAUUUCUGGGGCAGCAGGCAGUUCCCUGAGGACCACUGUUUACACUGGAAGUGCAAAGUUCUACUCUAAUUAGGCAAACCACAAACAAAAGUAAACACUUCAGCAGACCUUUUUUACAGAACGUGAGAGCAGGCACUGCACCACACUGACUAAAUCCUGCUGCCAUACCUUCAUACCACCCCGAGCCUCCUCGGUGGAGCUACUCAGAGCAGCAGCUUCAGUUCAUCCUGUUAAACACCAGCCAUAGCUGAGAACAGCAACAAACACAAUUACAGAUUUAUUCAGCGAUUCCUGUCCUAUUCCCCACUGGAUUACCAAGGCUUUACUGCCUAGAACACCUACACAUUAAUUUAUCAUCUUGCUGGGCUCUUGCAGCAGUGCUCAGAAAGCUGCGUGUGACAUGCUGGCUGCAGACCUCCCAACAGGCUCUGCAUUACACUGCACACAUCAUGGAUGCGCUCAGAGAAGAAAAAUUAUUUUGCAUCUUCCUAUUUUCCACCUUAAUACUACAGUCUCCCUAAUUUAGGAACUGGCAAGCCAUAUACUGUACAUGUUUUGUAAAUUUAAAAAAAAUAUAUUCUUCACAUGUAGUACAGCCAUUUCAGGUUCCUGGAAAGAGUUUUGUACUUUUGCCUAUUGAAAGCUACAUAUGCUGUCACACACAUCCAAAUUAAGCCAAGCAAUAAAAGUGCAGGUUGAAGUUACUCUGCCUCUUUGGAGAGUGGUGCAGAGUGAGCACUGGGACGUGGGCUGGAUUUCAGGAAGUGAGGGAGCAGCCCAGCAGAUGGUCCCUGUGAGGUUACCUGCUGCUCUGGCACAGAGGUCACUGCCCAGCUCUGGCCAGAUGGCACAGGGCAGGCACUCGGGGCAGCAAGCUACACCUGCCAGCAUCUGGAAUAGUUUAUCAAGUAUCAUUCAGAGAGCAACUCAAUAGUGCAUCUGCCUUCUGAAGAGAGGUUUCUGAGAGGGAAGUGUUUCAAGAGAGGCAGCACAAAUUCUCCAAGUCCUGAAAUUUUAGAUUGCUCACCGUAAUGCCACGUUACUGCAAACAACAACAGUGUAACUGUUUCCCAGUCAUACUUGGAAAUUUCAGUUCAUGCUUGGACAGGUGCAGGACUUGAUGGUUGUGUCUAACUUUGAAGUUUCAAUCAACCUUUUCCUUCAGGUUACUGAGGUCCUUCUGAACAGCAGCUGUGCCCUCCAGAGUAUCAACCCGGUGCCAUCUGCAAGCCUGAGGAGUUUGUCCAUCCCACCCUCCUGAUGGCUGAUGAAAUUGCUCAGUAGUGUUGGUCUCCACACUGACUCCCAAGGGCAAUCACAGCAUAAUGGCCACCAUUAGUGCUUGAACUCGACUGAACAAACCAGCCCAGGUCUGCACCCAAAAAACCAGCCCAGGUCUGCACCCAUGCCUGCGAGGAUGACACGGGAGACCUCAUCAGAAGCCUUGCCUGAUGCUGAGGGUAAUGACAGAAUUAUCUCUCCUCAUCCAUGGACCCAGUCAUUUCAUCACAGAAGGAAUGAGGUUGCUCAGGCAGGAUCUCUCCCCUCGGUAAGCCCACAGCAAAUGCUCCAAAUUACCCUCCUGUCCUUCCAGUGCCUGGAAAUGCCUUUUGGGAGGAUUUGCUCCAUGCCCUUCCCACUGAGGGGCUGAGACAAGGCUGACCAGCCUGCAGUUCCCCGGAGCAGCUACUACUCAGCAGAGCUGAGCUGAAGGUGAUUCAUUAUCCCUUAUCAGCUCAAUUUUACUAUACAGAGACAUUCCUCCCCUUUCCCCUACAUUGGGUAGAGCUUGUCUCACCUCAGCGCUGAAAACACACGCUGUUUGCAGAGAAGAGUGGGAAAUAAGGUCAUCUCCUGAUAAAUAUUUUUACUUAAUUUUCAUUUACAUGGAACACAAUCCCAGUUCCUGCUUACCAACAAAACUGGAAGGAAACCUACACAGAGAUGCAUCUUCCACGUACCUGCACUGUAUUCCUCAAUACACUCUCCACAAACAUUGUUAUUUUAAAUGCCUGUUUACAUUCCAGGAAAAUUCUGUCAGCAUGCUAUCUGAUUUAUUGAUGCCAUCAAAAGUCACAAGAUUCCUGACGUGCCUCCUGAGGCACAACAAUCAAAGCAGAAAGGAGAUGCAUCUUGCUGUGGUAUCAGCAUUACCACAUACCUUAUGGGCUGGCUUUCCAGAAGCCUCUGUGAUUUCUGGGACAGGGCACAGAGCUCUUCUGGAAAGCUGCUGCUCCCUGAGAGGUUCAGCAGGCUCUGCUCCUGGAAAAUGGGGUGCUGUGGAGGGAGUACCCCCAGAGCCAGCUCGUGGUAACAGCAAGACUCAGGCAGCUCUCAGCCAGCUCGCUCCUCUAAAGGGGACUCACACACAUUUGGCAUCUUAUUUCAGGCUUUUAGGCUACCAAAAGGGAAAACACAGUCAAGCACCAACGCUUUGUAGAAAAAUUAUGAUGAUGAUGAAGAAAAAAGCCUGUCCUAGAAGAAGGUGAUCAUGUCUCUGCUUCACACCCAGUGCCUCUCAGCACCCCAGCCCCCAAGCACACUGCCUUUGUCCCCGGGCAUGAGAUUUUUGCAUCUUCUCUACCUGGAGGACGUUUUGGUUUAUUAGGGUUUCGCCUAGCAGGCAGCCCAGCCUGCUCCAAUAUUGGAAGAUCAAUUGCAUAAUCAGUCUGUAAAUCUGGGGAAAUUCUUUAUUGACUUUUUGAUAGCUGAUAAAGUGUUGGCCAACAUAAAGAAUACCACUUCAGCAAAAUCCAUCUAGAGUCCACUAGAAUUACCUACUUUAAAAAACCAGAAUUGACUGAUACUAUACAAGAGAUGAUGUUUUUUGAAGAGUUAACAUCAACACAGAUUAACACUGACCUCCUGAUAAAUAACAGCCGGUUAUGAUACACAGAAUAUGGCAGAAAUCAUGUUGCAAAUUAGGCAGCAUUCCCAGAGGCGAGUUGUUCCAGACCCCAAGCAGUGCACGGGGUUGGAAGCACCCCUGGCAGCGGGCACCUGUCAGAGUGGGAGCUGGGAUGGGAGUGGCUCUGCUCCCUGUGAGCCCACCUGGACCUGGCUGUGCCGCAAGAACUGACCAGUCCUUGAGACUUGAGGCUUUCCUCCCAUCACUGGAGCAUCCUGCUGGAGCAGGGCAGCCACCAGAGCCCCGCAGCACUCCCCUCUCCCCCCCAGGACCAGCACCCCGGGCUCUGUGCAGUGAAAGGCUCUCGCUGGGCCCCCCAGGGACAGGGAUUACCAACGGGCAGGAAUCAAGGGAAAUUCGACUCUUUCUCCCCACCUACCCCUCUGCCUUCUGUCUUCCAUGUUUACAGACGUGUUAGCUCCUGCUGCUCGCAAUUCCAGAAACGCUUCCCUUUCUCUUUGGGGCUCAUGCAGCCACGUCUGCCUACUGCUAUAAUCUCAUUUUGCAGGACGCCACAUCUCUUAGUAGCUUUUAAUUGUGGUAACACAUCUAAGCAUCCUGGAAAGCACAUCAGAAACUGCCUGACAGAAAAAUGCUGUUCAGAACAGAAACAUCCUUCCUGAUGUGUGGAUAUUUUCUCCACUUGUACUAGAAAAUUACCUUAAAUGCAGAAAAAUAUCUACAUUUUUAAAGAGAAGGCUCCCAAUGAGAAAUUAAUUUUGGAUUGAAUUUAGUGUACACUGCUGCUCUGAAGAACAAUCUGAAUCGUAAUUGACUUUUAAUCUAACUUAAAUAAUACAGCAGUUCAUGUUCUGCUGAUUUCCAUGAAAAGACUGUGCACAGUUUUGUCUUUUUUAAAAUCUAUGUUGGAAGACAUAUGAUUACAACUUCUACAAUUUAAAAAUAAUUGUUACAUAGAUCGCUACAGGAAAUCUAUUUGUAUUCUUCCUUUUGGUGCUCCACAGAUGGUGGUGUUCUGCUUGGGCAGUGGUGGGUAGGGCUGGUCCCCCUGCACCCCACCCAGCCACAGACCAUGGCCACGCCUGAAACAUCUCACUCUCCCCAGGAAAAAUCACCCCAGCAUGAUCUGCUGUCUGCUGGGCUGGAGGAGAUGAGAAAGGCUGUGGCACUGCCAUUUAUUUUGCCAUGAUUAUGGCAUUUCUUAUGUAGCAACUAUUGCACGGGUUUUCGUAGAAAAAAAAACAACAAAACCCUAUAAACAGGUCUCUAGUUCCAAUUUAUAGCAUCUCACUAGAAUAUUUUGUAUUACUUGAAUUUCAAAUUAUUAUUUGAACUCUUACUUGAACUCAAACAAUCCCUAUCCUACAAUAAAAUAUCCUACAGAUGUUGACAACAACAGCUCACUUAUUAUUGGGCAAUCUCCAUAUAAUUCUUUUAGCAUAACCCAAAGAUAGAAAGAAGAGGUCACACCCCCAGAGGUGCAUUUCUUCCCCAGUACCAGUUUGCAAUAGAAGCUGCUUCAAACUUAUGUUGUUUCGUGAAAAAAAGAGCAAAAUUUUUAAAUUCUGAUCUUCUAGAUAAAAACAUGCUGCUGCUGGACCUGCCACUUCAGAACACGGAGGUUUGGGAACAGGAAACAAACCCUUCACCUACCAGCCACGGAAAAGAGGGAAAUUUAAAUAACCUAAGAAGAAAACAACUCAGCAUUACUGAAAACAAAACCUGGAGUGCAGGCUGGAGCUGGGGACACAGCACAGCCCCUGGUGUGCACAGAUUGCCUCUUACAAAAGCUGGGUGUAAGUUACCACUUGUGAGUAAGGACCAACACAGCCCCUUCCCUCCGUCCACAUGAAGGGACAUUUCUGGCGGUCCCUGUUUCCCACAUCGUGUGAUUGAUUACACUCUCCCCUUAGAAGAGUUGAUUGGUUUCCUGGUGCCAGGAAAAUGAUUGAUGAAUAUUUCAGGCCAUGGGCCUCUCUUCCUGCUGGGUGUCCUUUUCACAUGUCUCCAAUGGGCCUGGGGAUUUUUUUCAAGACUAGGAAGUGUCAUUUUUAUGGAUAUCAUCCUGUGAUAGGGACAGUUCCCUGAGCAGAGGCCUUAUGUAAAUCCAAGUGAAAUACUAAAGGUCAGCCCAAGUGCUGAGGUGAUGGAGCCAGCCGGCAGCGCCAGGUAAGCAGGAAAACAGAACUGGGCAAAGAAAAGCUUCACAAAGCAGCAGCAAACAGGAGGCACCGAGCAGCCCCACCCUGGGCAUGGCACAGCAGCAAACUGGUACCCAGCACUGGCACCUUCCCUGAGCUCCCUUCAGUCGGGCACGCCACCAGGAGCACAGUAAAUUAAACGUGCAGGUAGGAACAGCCCUGCCUGUGGCCCACAGAGAGGGCAUUUCCUCAGCACUGCUGAUGCGACAGGCAGAGGAUAGAGAGUCUCCUGGCAAAAGCACUCACAAGACAUCUGAAACAACAUACUUAGGAAUGAUUCCUUGUAAGUAUUGCCAAACAACAUAAAGCUACAGCUGCGAGGCUGAACGAAGAGAUGUUUGGAGGACAAGCUGGUGUUUGGCAGAACUUCCAGAGACUCGGAGUUCUUUUACGAAUUUUUACUACAACCACCACAGCCAUCAUUUAUUCACUGGGAUUCAGGACCUGAGGGCUCUGCAGCAAUUGCCACAGGUAAAGCCUGGGCAGCAGUUAGUCAGAAUAAAGGCUGCAUUGCCAGGAGCCCCGUGCUCGGGCACAGCACCUGCAGGCUGCUGAGCAGCACGGAGCCCAGCGCGAGGAGCACCUGCAGGCACUGCACCCACAUCUCCUGCAGGGACAGCUGCAGAGGCUUUGUCCAACAAGAGAAUUUUGUCCAAGGGGUAUCACAGUCCACGUUAUGUUCCCAUAAAAUCUAUGAAGGUUUCCCCUCAAGCUUCAGCUGGGAGGUAUUUCCAGACAAGGGCAUCACAGCAGCUUGCAGUCAGCCUGGUGCUAGAGCUGUGACUUUUACUGUUCUUUAGGUUUGGGGUUUUUUUUACAAAGGGAAAAAGGGCUUUAAAAAAUUAAUCUUUCACACUGACCAGACGUUUCUCUAAGUUUAAAUUUCCCCACCUCUACAAGCCUACAGCUGGGAUGAUUAGGCAAUGGAAGGUGGACAUGUAACUUGUGCUCCUGAAGGACGCAGGUCCACCCUGGGCAAAUGAAACCUCCUUAUCGAAGUGCUGGGGAGAACUCAGAUACCCCAGGCAUAUACUGCUUCCCAGAUAAGUUAGUGGCAAUCAUUUACCAAUAAAGAACUUCACUGAAGCCAGCCUCUCCGCGGAGUAUUUCCUCUUUCUAACAAAACCUGUACAGAAUCGUUUUUAUCAACACAUAAAAUCUGGAAGUCGUCUAAUUAUGUAAUUAGAACUGUAAUAAUUAAGACCAAAGCUAAAGCUCGAAGGGUCCCUUGUCCCCCAACUUCCCUUUCUCAAUUAACUCUGCACAGUGAUAACCACUUUGGCUUAAAGGCUAAAAAAAGGACAGGAUCAAAAGGCUGGUUUAAUACAGCUGGAGGGAAAGAAUGCAUUUCAGCUCCCCAGCAGCCAUCUGAUGAAACCCUGGGCCAAUUCCCUAUGUAAAUGACUUAAUUAGAAUUACCAGAUUACACUGCUGAAGGCUUUAUUUAAAUAGGCAGUUUAUCAACAGGAUAAACUGCUCCCAUUCUCACAGAAUGCUGCUGUAAAUGCAUCUGUUCAAAGCUCUACCACGCAGAAGUUGAGCAGUAAUUCAAUAAACCACUGGCACAUUUUGCCCACCAAAAAAAGAAAUACCACAAAGGACUUGCCAGAGGCAGGACAGAAAGAUAGCUCUUGCUUCCCAACAAUCAAGAAUGAGUCUCCCAGAUGGGAAAGUUCCCUCAUUUUCUAUAAUUCAGUAUCUUAAAAUUGUUUUAUAGCAAAGCAGGG